rnacentral:rRNA from 1 species
AUUGAACGCUGGCGGCAUGCCUUACACAUGCAAGUCGAACGGUAACAGGUUAAGCUGACGAGUGGCGAACGGGUGAGUAAUGUAUCGGAACGUGCCCAGUCGUGGGGGAUAACUGCUCGAAAGAGCGGCUAAUACCGCAUACGACCUGAGGGUGAAAGCGGGGGAUCGCAAGACCUCGCGCGAUUGGAGCGGCCGAUAUCAGAUUAGGUAGUUGGUGAGGUAAAGGCUCACCAAGCCGACGAUCUGUAGCUGGUCUGAGAGGACGACCAGCCACACUGGGACUGAGACACGGCCCAGACUCCUACGGGAGGCAGCAGUGGGGAAUUUUGGACAAUGGGCGCAAGCCUGAUCCAGCCAUGCCGCGGGCGGGAAGAAGGCCUUCGGGUUGUAAACCGCUUUUGUCAGGGAAGAAAAGGUUCUGGCUAAUACCUGGGACUCAUGACGGUACCGGAAGAAUAAGCACCGGCUAACUACGU